rnacentral:rRNA from 1 species
GCUCCAAUAGCGUAUAUUAAAGUUGUUGCGGUUAAAAAGCUCGUAGUUGGAUUUCUGUUGAGAACAGCCGGUCCACCUCUUGGGUGAGUAUCUGGAUUGGUCUCGGCAUCCUCUCGAACUCGUUGCUGCGCUUGAUUGCGUGGUGCGGUGUUCGGGACUUUUUACUUUGAGGAAAUUAGAGUGUUCACGGCAGGCAAUCG